rnacentral:lncRNA from 1 species
UCCUUGGGGACCCAGAGAAAUGUCAGCUGUGGAUUGGACAGAUUCUGAUGUCUUCCAUGCCACACCUUGACCAGUCUUCAGCACUGAGCACAGGACGACUCAGCUCCCAGUUGGUGUUGUCAGCAACUCAUUGUGAGACCUCUGGCAGCCAGCCAGCUGCACGGGGAUGGAAGGCAAGGACUCUUCACCCCAGCACUGCCCUGGGGAGAAUCAGGCAGGGCCCCGUGGGUGCUGCUCUGUGCUCUCUCCUCCAUGUGGCUCUGUCUUUCUUUAGCUCUCCCUUACCUUGUCCAGAUAAAGGCACAGAGAAUGGAAAGCCAAGUUCCCCACCUAUGAAGACCAUUGAAGGAAGAUCCCAAGCCCGGGGAGAUCCCCUGGAAACCGUCUCGUCUGACCGUGUUGGGAGUGACUUAGUAGGAAGUGGACCUCCCUCAUGGAGAGAGGAGGUGGCCAUCCUCUGUGUCCUCCCAGAGCUGACCAUCUGCGGCAUCCUUUUAUCCUGCUGCUUGAGGAAGAAUUACCCUUUGGCAUUGAUGAUGAGCAUGAAGAAGAGCAGAUAAUGCAAUUACAGACAUGACUUUAUCUCAAUUUAGGACAGCAAAUAUUUAGGAUUAGGAUUAAGACUCCGGGAGAGACAGCCUUCAGAUCAUUCUGCAGAGGAAAUACUUGGGAUGGUUGUUUGCAUUUUGUUUGGGCUGCCUCUGGUAGGUCAACAUGUGGUCGACCCUGCUGGGUGUCUGGGAUAGAACAAGAUAGGAUCCUACAAUUUAAAGAACACAUUCGAGUAUUUCACCCCUAUGUGCUUUGGACAAAAUGCAAAAUAAACAAUAAAUGGACUCACAAAAUGUUUACAAAGCUGAAUAAAGCCUACCAAAGUCAAGCUCUCUUUCUGGUAGAGAUUACUGUUAUCUGCAGCCAGAAGAGUAGUGCCUUGAUGGUGUCUGAGUUCUAUCAAAUGGCACUGAGACAGCCUGAGUUUUGGAACCAACACUGAACUAUCAUAUUAAAGAAUCUGG